rnacentral:rRNA from 1 species
GACAGCAGCAGCCGCGGUAACACAGAGGGUGCGAGCGUUAAUCGGAUUUACUGGGCGUAAAGCGUGCGUAGGCGGCUUUUUAAGUCGGAUGUGAAAUCCCUGAGCUUAACUUAGGAAUUGCAUUCGAUACUGGGAAGCUAGAGUAUGGGAGAGGAUGGUAGAAUUCCAGGUGUAGCGGUGAAAUGCGUAGAGAUCUGGAGGAAUACCGAUGGCGAAGGCAGCCAUCUGGCCUAAUACUGACGCUGAGGUACGAAAGCAUGGGGAGCAAACAGGAUUAGAUACCCGUGUAGUCCCUGUCUCUUAUAC